GACGAACGUUGGCGGCGUGCUUAAUACAUGCAAGUCAACUGAAGCAGUGGUAGCAAUAUCGCUGUGGAGGUGGCGCACGGGUGAGUAACACGUAGGUAAUCUGCCUUCAGGUCUGGCAUAACUCCGGGAAACCGGGGCUAAUAGCAGAUGAUGCAGCGGCUCGACAUCGAGACAGUUGUUAAAGCUAUGGCGCCUGAAGAUGAGCCUGCGUCUGAUUAGCUAGUUGGCGGGGUAACGGCCCACCAAGGCAACGAUCAGUAGCUGGUCUGAGAGGAUGAUCAGCCACACUGGAACUGAGACACGGUCCAGACUCCUACGGGAGGCAGCAGUAAGGAAUAUUGCUCAAUGGGAGAAAUCCUGAAGCAGCAACGCCGCGUGAGGGACGAAGGGCUUUUGCUUGUAAACCUCUGUAGUGAGAGAAAAAAAUCCCAAUCUUUGGGGCAUGAUGGUAUCUCAAAAGUAAGCCCCGGCUAACUACGUG
rnacentral:rRNA from 1 species